rnacentral:rRNA from 1 species
AGCUGGGGCAAGCGAGAUACCUGCGCACCAGGGAAAUCCGGUGCGCGCAAGGGGAAGGCGCGAAGCAUACGGAAAGCUGCGGCAAGUACGGAAAAGCUGAGAGCAGGCUUCCAGGAAAAGCUUCUAGCACAACACGCAUCGGCCCGUACCGAAAAUGGACACACAUGGGCAAGGAGAGAAUCCUGAGGUGAGCGAGAGAACUAUAGCUAAGGAACUCUGCAAAAUGACCCCGUAACUUAGGGAGAAGGGGUGCUCCAGAAAUGGAGCCGCAGUAAAACGGCCCAAGCGACUGUUUACCAAAAACACAGCUCUCUGCGAAGGCGCAAGCCGAAGUAUAGGGGGUGACGCCUGCCCGGUGCUGGAAGGUCAAGGGGAGCUGUCAGCGCAAGCGAAGCAGCGAGCCGAAGCCCCAGUAAACGGCGGCCGUAACAAUAACGGUCCUAAGGUAGCGAAAUUCCUUGUCGGGCAAGUUCCGACCCGCACGAAAGGCGUAACGAUUUGGGCGCUGUCUCAGCUGUAGACUCGGUGAAGUCUUAGUACCUGUGAAGAUGCAGGUUGCCCGCGACUAGACGGAAAGACCCCAUGGAGCUUCACUGCAGGUUGACAUUGGGCUUGGAUGCAUGAUGUACAGGAUAGGUGGGAGGCUGUGAGCCGUGCGCGCCAGCGUACGGGGAGCCGCUGUUGGGAUACCACCCUUCAUGCAUCUAGGUCCUAACCGGAGGCAACGGGCCACGGGACAGUGUCAGUCGGGCAGUCUGACUGGGGCGGUCGCCUCCCAAAGAGUAACGGAGGCGCCCAAAGAUACCCUCAGCAUGGAUGGAAACCAUGCAUAGAGUGCAAAGGCAUAAGGGUGUCCGACUGCGAGACAUACAGGUCGAGCAGGGACGAAAGUCGGGCUUAGUGAUCCGGCGGAUCCGAAUGGAAGGGCCGUCGCUCAACGGAUAAAAGCUACCCUGGGGAUAACAGGCUGAUCUCCCCCAAGAGUUCACAUCGACGGGGAGGUUUGGCACCUCGAUGUCGGCUCAUCGCAUCCUGGAGCUGAAGUCGGUUCCAAGGGUUGGGCUGUUCGCCCAUUAAAGCGGUACGCGAGCUGGGUUCAGAACGUCGUGAGACAGUUCGGUCCCUAUCUGUCGUGGGCGCAGGAGGUUUGAGGAGAGCUGCCCCUAGUACGAGAGGACCGGGGUGGACGGACCGAUGGUGCACCAGUUGUCACGCCAGUGGCACAGCUGGGCAGCCAAGUCCGGACGGGAUAAGCGCUGAAGGCAUCUAAGCGUGAAGCCCCCUCCAAGAUGAGACCUCCCAUUGGCGACAAGUAAGGCCCCUCGAAGACGACGAGGUUGAUAGGCCGCGAGUGCAAGCGCAGCGAUGUGCUUAGCGGGGCGGUACUAAUAGGCCGAGGACUUGGCC